rnacentral:rRNA from 1 species
AUUGAACGCUAGCGGGAUGCCUUACACAUGCAAGUCGAACGGAGUGGCGAACGGGUGAGUAAUGUAUCUGAACGUGCCCAUUAGCGGGGGAUAACUACGCGCAAGCGUAGCUAAUACCGCAUACUCUUGGAGCGGCCGGUAUCGGAUUAGCUAGUUGGUGGGGUAACGGGUCACCAAGGCGACGAUCCGUAGCUGGUUUGAGAGGACGACCAGCCACACGGGGACUGAGACACGGCCCAGACUCCUACGGGAGGCAGCAGUGGGGAAUUUUGGACAAUGGGGGAAACCCUGAUCCAGCCAUCCCGCGUGUGUGAUGAAGGCCUUCGGGUUGUAAAGCACUUUUGGCAGGAAAGCGGUACCUGCAGAAUAAGCACCGGCUAACUACGUGCCAGCAGCCGCGGUAAUUC